GGCACUGUGGCGGAGUGGUUAACGCGAGAGAUUAGAAUCGCCUGGCACCUGGCAGGAUUCCAACAUGUAUCUCUUCCACUUUGUGGGCACAGGUUCGAAUCCUGUCAGUGUCG